CUACGGGGGGCUCCAGUGGGGAAUAUUGCACAAUGGGCGCAAGCCUGAUGCAGCCAUGCCGCGUGUAUGAAGAAGGCCUUCGGGUUGUAAAGUACUUUCAGCGGGGAGGAAGGGAGUAAAGUUAAUACCUUUGCUCAUUGACGUUACCCGCAGAAGAAGCACCGGCUAACUCCGUGCCAGCAGCCGCGGUAAUACGGAGGGUGCAAGCGUUAAUCGGAAUUACUGGGCGUAAAGCGCACGCAGGCGGUUUGUUAAGUCAGAUGUGAAAUCCCCGGGCUCAACCUGGGAACUGCAUCUGAUACUGGCAAGCUGGAGUCUCGUAGAGGGGGGUAGAAUUCCAGGUGUAGCGGUGAAAUGCGUAGAGAUCUGGAGGAAUACCGGUGGCGAAGGCGGCCCCCUGGACGAAGACUGACGCUCAGGUGCGAAAGCGUGGGGAGCAAACAGGAUUAGAUACCUGGUAGUC
rnacentral:rRNA from 1 species